CCUACGGGAGGCAGCAGUGAGGAAUAUUGGUCAAUGGCAGUAAGGCUGAACCAGCCAAGUCGCGUGAAGGAAGAAGGAUCUAUGGUUUGUAAACUUCUUUUAUAGGGGAAUAAAGGUAUCCACGUGUGGAUAUUUGCAUGUACCCUAUGAAUAAGCAUCGGCUAACUCCGUGCCAGCAGCCGCGGUAAUACGGAGGAUGCGAGCGUUAUCCGGAUUUAUUGGGUUUAAAGGGUGCGUAGGUUGUUUUUUAAGUCAGCGGUGAAAGUUUGUGGCUCAACCAUAAAAUUGCCGUUGAAACUGGAAGACGUGAGUGUGUUUGAGGUAGGCGGAAUGCGUGGUGUAGCGGUGAAAUGCAUAGAUAUCACGCAGAACUCCGAUUGCGAAGGCAGCUUACUAAGCCAUAACUGACACUGAAGCACGAAAGCGUGGGGAUCAAACAGGAUUAGAUACCCCUGUAGUC
rnacentral:rRNA from 1 species